UGUUAGUGUGUGUUGUGCUGGUAUGAGUCGAUCAGACACAGCAAUGUUGUGGCACACAAUUACUAAAGAGAAAAUUUUAGAUGAAUGGUCAACUACAUUUAAAGCAACUAUGUUUGCUUUUAAAGGGGAUUAAUGCAAACAAAUCUUGAAGUAAAUCAUGGCUAUCUACAUUAAGGUUUCAUGACAUUUGUAUAAUCAUUAUGACAGAUAUUUAUAUAGAAAAACAUAUAAAUUUCUUUCUUACAAUGCAGUGUUAAAUGCUGUACAUUUCAUUUUCAAUAAGUUUAUAUGUAAUACAAGGUCUACUUGUACACAUUCUUGACUAAUGUAUUUGUAUUCAACAUUUUCUUAUUCUAAAUGUAUAAAAAUGGACCCUAAGAAUGAUGCUAUUCUUAGAUCAUUUUAAAAUAAUAUUUGUAAAUAUGUUUCUGUACCCGUGGUGUUAGUAGUGGUUGGCAUUAAAUAUUUCUUCCAUUUCUUCCAUAUAAACUGUCUGCUGACCAUUGGAAGACACCUGGAAAUAAAGGCUGUGACAUGACUACUGAUCUCUUUGUAUGGAUACCUGAGACAAUACUGGCCCCUGACUACUUAACUAAUGUCCUCUUUUAGCAGUUAUGAUGUAAAAAUGCUUCCUCUGAUCAGUUUCUCAUACUUCUUCCUCAUAGCUUCUCAUGGGGUUUUUUACAUUUGAAAGCCAAACCAAUGCUGCAUCAUACAGAGUGACACUCUACUGACAUGUUUUAAGAUGUUUUCUUCCUCCUUCUGAACAAUACAAACACUACUCAGAAGGAAAGGUGGAUUGCUUGCAGAUUACAAACACUACUCUGAGGGAAAGGCAGAUUGCUCGCAGAAUACAACCAUUACUCUGAGGGAAAGGCGGACUCCAAGCAGAUUUCAGCCAUGCUUAUUUUCCUGAUUUUUUCAGG